rnacentral:lncRNA from 1 species
CUCUGCUGUGUUAUUCUAGCCCUGAGCACAUGCCUGUCCUUUCUCUCUGUCUCUGUUCCUUCAUGUCAAAGGCUCCUCUCAGCAGAAAAGAGCCCCUCAACCUCUUUUUUGUCCAGUUUGACUUGUCUCUGUAGUUUCUUUUGUCCUUUUCUUUCUUGCUGCCUAUGUCUAAAAAAAAUCAUCUUUUGAAACAGUUAUUUUCUCUGUAUCUAAGGUUCUUAUUUUGCUCUCUGAGGGGGUCCGGCUCCAGCCUUUAAUCCCACUUUCUCAAAUUUUUAUCAUUUUUAUGACACUACGUAAUUAACCUUAGCUCAGGAGCAUGCAUAAUUUCCCAUUACCCUCAAAGCACCUUCCCCAGACUCAGCCUUGCUGUCAUUCUAUUACCUGACCUGCUUCCUGGAGUUAUAGGUUGGGUGUAGAUGGCACUCUGCCCUCCAGGAUUCUGCCAUGGUGUCUUUAUGUAUCCUCUUGGACCAGUACAAGGCAUCUUAAUUUCUUCCACAAGGCUCUGAGGAAUAGAAAUAGAUUUGGAAUGUGCUAUACUUCAGAUCUGAAGUGGCUCCCAAAUGCCCGUGUGUUGAAGGCUUGGUGGGCAGCCUGCAGCACUAUUUUUGGAUGUGAUGGAAACUUUAGGAGAUGGGGCCAGGUAGAAAGAAGUUAGGUCAUUAAGGGCAUGCCCUUAAAGGGGAUAUGGCGACCUUGCCUGUCUCUCAGUUUCUCUUUCUCUCUCAGCUUCCCCCUUUUUUCCCCCUCCCCCUCUCCUUAGCUGCUGUGAGUUAAGCAGCCUCCUUUGUGAUGUGUUCAGCCAUGAUGUACUGUGCUGCCACAGGCCCAAGGCAGCAGAGCCAAGAAACCAUGGACUGAAAUCUCUAAAACGCUGAGCCAAAUAAAUCUUUCUUCCUUCAGGUUGCUUAUCUCAGAUGUUCUGUCACAGCAACGGAAAGCUAACACAGCAGUGUAUCUUCCUUAAACUGUAAAUAGAAAACAAAUUGCACUGAGAGAAGGCUGCAAUUUUGGUUAUGGUUUGGUGUAUCUUUGGUUUGCCUUUGUUUCUGAUAUUUUCUAUUUAUUUGUGUC